rnacentral:tRNA from 4 species
GGAUUAGCUCAGCUGGGAGAGCACCUGCCUUACAAGCAGGGGGUCGGCGGUUCGAUCCCGUCAUCCUCCACCA